GACGAACCGUGCGAACGUUAUUCGGAAUCGCUGGGCUUAAAGCGCGUGUAGGCGGCCCGGCACGUCGUCGCUGAAAUCCCCCGGCUCAACCGGGGAAGUGGCGUGGAUACGACCGGGCUGGAGGGGGGUAGGGGGAGCCGGAACUUCCGGUGGAGCGGUGAAAUGCGUUGAGAUCGGAAGGAACGCCCGUGGCGAAAGCGGGCUCCUGGACCCCACCUGACGCUGAGACGCGAAAGCCAGGGAGCGAACGGG
rnacentral:rRNA from 1 species